rnacentral:rRNA from 1 species
UACGGAGGGUGCAAGCGUUAUCCGGAUUCACUGGGGUUAAAGGGUGCGUAGGAGGGCAGGGAAGUCCGUGGUGAAAUCUCCGAGCUUAACUCGGAAACUGCCGUGGAUACUCUCUGUCUUGAAUCCCGUGGAGAUGAGCGGAAUAUGUCAUGUAGCGGUGAAAUGCAUAGAUAUGCCAUAGAACACCAAUUGCGAAGGCAGCUGGCUAGACCUGGAUUGACGCUGAGGCACGAAAGCGUGGGGAGCGAACAGG